rnacentral:rRNA from 1 species
AACGGCCGUACCAUGCUGAAUAUACCGGUUCUCGUUAGAUCACCAAGUCAAGCAUCAUUGGGCGCGGUCAGUUCUUGGGUGGGUGACCACCUAGGAACACCGCGUGCCGUU